rnacentral:rRNA from 1 species
GCUCAGAACGAACGCUGGCGGCGUGGAUAAGACAUGCAAGUCGAACGAGAGAAUUGCUAGCUUGCUAAUAAUUCUCUAGUGGCGCACGGGUGAGUAACACGUGAGUAACCUGCCCCCGAGAGCGGGAUAGCCCUGGGAAACUGGGAUUAAUACCGCAUAGUAUCGAAAGAUUAAAGCAGCAAUGCGCUUGGGGAUGGGCUCGCGGCCUAUUAGUUAGUUGGUGAGGUAACGGCUCACCAAGGCGAUGACGGGUAGCCGGUCUGAGAGGAUGUCCGGCCACACUGGAACUGAGACACGGUCCAGACACCUACGGGUGGCAGCAGUCGAGAAUCAUUCACAAUGGGGGAAACCCUGAUGGUGCGACGCCGCGUGGGGGAAUGAAGGUCUUCGGAUUGUAAACCCCUGUCAUGUGGGAGCAAAUUAAAAAGAUAGUACCACAAGAGGAAGAGACGGCUAACUCUGUGCCAGCAGCCGCGGUAAUACAGAGGUCUCAAGCGUUGUUCGGAAUCACUGGGCGUAAAGCGUGCGUAGGCUGUUUUCGUAAGUCGUGUGUGAAAGGCGCGGGCUCAACCCGCGGACGGCACAUGAUACUGCGAGAUUAGAGUAAUGGAGGGGGAACCGGAAUUCUCGGUGUAGCAGUGAAAUGCGUAGAUAUCGAGAGGAACACUCGUGGCGAAGGCGGGUUCCUGGACAUUAACUGACGCUGAGGCACGAAGGCCAGGGGAGCGAAAGAGAUUAGAUACCCCUGUAGUCCUGGCAGUAAAACGGUGCACGCUUGGUGUGCGGGGAAUCGACCCCCUGCGUGCCGGAGCUAACGCAUUAAGCGUGCCGCCUGGGGAGUACGGUCGCAAGAUUAAAACUCAAAGAAAUUGACGGGGACCCGCACAAGCGGUGGAGUAUGUGGCUUAAUUCGAUGCAACGCGAAGAACCUUACCUGGGCUUGACAUGUAAUGAACAACAUGUGAAAGC